GGGGAGGGGGAGGGUGUCGGAAAAAAUUGCCAACUGGAUUUGGGGCCCUUUUCGAGUUGCGGUUUUAGACUUCAUCCGCCAGCGGACGAAGUGAUUUGAUUGGCCAGUCGGUUGUCAAUCGAAUUGAAAUAACAAGUAGGAAUGUUUGACUCGACUACAAGUUGUUUUAGUUCACAAAAUGGAGAAUGCGAGAUCAGUCGAUAAGAUAGAAGAAGCUUUACAAUUUAUGAAAUCAAAAGAUAUUGAUUUGACUUUGAAGAGAGAGCAAGAAAUAGCGAUCAGGAGUUUAUUGAUAGGGAACGAUGUCCUUGCAGUGCUUGCAACGGGGUUUGGGAAAACCACGAUUUUUACAGUUUUCGAGAUAGCGAAGAGCUUUACAUCGAGGGCUUCAAUUAUUAUCGUCUCGCCAUUGAAGAGCAUUAUAGCCAACCAGCUUGAAGAGUUGAAUGGUCUGUCCUCUGCUACUGAGCUAAUGCCAGAAAGUUUAAAAGAGGUCGUGGACAACCCGCCGAACUACAUAUAUACUUUGGCAGAACAAGUCCUGUGCAAAGACUGUCUAGAUGCGUUAAAAGAUGAAACAGCUCACUAUAUCAGCGCGUAGAAGCCAUCGUAGUGGACGAAUCGCACACUGUUCAAACUUGGACGGGAAAGAGGGUGUCAUUUGACUUGAUGGAAUGUAGUCUAUUCCAGUCAUUUCAGGUGAGAUCUGAUCCUGCCAGGAGCAUAGUUUUUCCAUAGCCUUUGGUUUGUUAGCAUUUCUUUCUUCCAGUUUAUUGACAAGUGUUCCAAUGUCUUUUUUUUGUCUUUGAAGGGUUUGUAAUUUUUUUAAUGGAUCGUGCGUGACUACUCAUUUACCGAGUGCCACUCGGUGCUUGAGUUUUCAGUUACUCUUGUGCGUUAAGCACAUGUAAAACGAAAUUACCAAUGAGACUAACUAUAUAAAGGAAUAUGGACUCCCUUUGCCUUCUUAAUUACUGCAGAUAUGAUAUGACCAGUCAUUACUGUCCUGAAGUAUCAGUUUUUUGAGCUUAAAUAAAACGACCUUUCUAAAUUUUAACAGCUACGAAAAAUGUUUCAUCGGAAAUGUACUCCAACUUAGUUAGAUUUUAAGGUUAUUUUUUCCGUUCUGCACGACACAAAAUCCUGUGUCCAAACGCACCAGCUAAAACUCGCACAGCGAAACAAUCAACACUCGGAAGGUUAUGGAGAAUUAGGUAACGAUGAAUCAGAAGAACCUGCUCCUUAUAAAACCUUUAAAGUGGGAUGAGAUGACUGAAAUAAAAGAUUGCGAAGCAGCCGAUGUUUCAUCGUCAACAAAAUGGUAUUUUGCGUAAAGACAGCAUUGAAAGGAUUUUUCAGAAUGUUGGCAUUUGAAUGUGUGGGGAAGCUUGAAGACCAAAGCCGUUUCACUCCACAAUACCCGUCGGCAUCCUCGCUCGCAGGUGAAAUAAUGGUCUCCACAUGCUACCAAUACACUGAAUUCGGGUCUUUAAAGUCCUUUUAUUUUCUUGUCAAGUUCAUGAACAGUUCGAUAACAGUUCAUUACUUUGGCUUUCUUUUGUUUGAUGUUGGCCCUAUUCCCUUCCGGAUCAGUCCCUUGAUGGUCGGGGUGAUCCAUGGCAUGUUGUUUGUUCCUUUACAUGCAUUGUUUAUGACGUUCUUUUCCAUGCCGUCAUUAAUAGAAAUGGAAAUAAUGUACUUUUUCAGAUUGAUUUUUCGGCCAGUGAUUGCAAGGUCAGCUUUAAAGCUUCCCAUCUUGACAUUCCAUAGAGUUGGAUCUUGCGAUGUUUUUGGGCGUGUCGUAUGGAUCUGAUGUCUAAAUCUCUUUACCCUAUAGAGAAAUUCCUAGCUUUUCCCAUCCCAUGUCAUAGUAAAUGACAGAAUCUUAAACGCCGGAAAUGUAGUGUUCUCUAUUUCUUUGCCUACUUUUCUUUGAAUAGACAUGGAGUGCAGGCACGUCACACCCAUUAAGCUAGGCGAUCUUCUAGAUGUGAGUCCACAUUACCAGAAUGCAACGUCCUCAAAACCACCUGCUGAUUCACCUGCUUUGUUUCGUUUUUUUUAGUGUCGUCCUUGUGAAUCUCGUCGCUUCUUACGAAACAGACUUCACUACAGAAAUAGCUUUUAAUUCAGCACACAUAUGCAAGUCCCACUAUUCUUCUCUGCUUUAUUUUUUGAUUAACAAUAAAUCUUAAAUUGGCCGCCAUUUUGAACCGUAAGUAGUAAACUAGCUUUUUUUCUUAAAAAAAGAAAUAAACUCGCACAUUUUAACAAAGUUUCCUAUAGACGAAUAAAAUAGUCAAAUAAUGGCAAAUACUCAAAUGGUGUAUUUAAACUCGAAUUCUGAAAGUAACUGGAACCGCAAACUUAGUGGUUUCGAAGUUGCCUCACCUUAGCUUGGAUAGGCAUCGUUUUUUUAUUAAUGCUUGUUCCUCUACAAACGCA